CAAUGAAAGGACCUCCAUCUUAUUGAAGGUUUCUGAAGGGUCUCAAACAAGCCGCCCAGACAUGGUCACCACCACCUCUGCAACAAUAAACACAAGGGCUCGGACAACCCUGCCUCAAGAUGCACCAACCACCGAGGCAGCAAGUUCCACUGAGUCUCAGGGUUCAACACUUCCAAACAGGGACAUCGUGCUGAAUGUUCGCCGUGUUUGGGGUGUGUUACGCUGGGUAAUCUUUGGAGUUCUGCUUCUCUUCCCGGUUUCCAUCAGCUGUGUGACAACUUUUAAAAGGUAAAAGUUUGCAAUCUCUUCACUCUGGUGUUCACAUUAAAUUCAAUUGGAAAUGAUGGGAAUUUACUUUAGAAUUGUAGAG